rnacentral:lncRNA from 1 species
AUUAUUGGAUUCUCCAUUAUGCCUCAACAAACAACACUAAACCACUCAAAAUCCUCCUCACCAGUUUCCAAUUAUCUUAUACCUUUUACCUUCCUUCCUUUGAUAAAAACUAAGAACUCUAUAUCUAGUCAAUAAAGAUUCAAACCAUGUUUGCUUGCCUUAAAAAAACAUCACAAAAAAAGAUAAAAGUAGAGAAAAUUAUCAAAGCAACAAAAGAUGUAUGUGAGUUAACCCAAAAGCAAACUACAUGCAAGACAAAGAAAAGGGUCCGGUUUGUGGACUCAGAACCAACCAUUUUGGGAGAAGAAAACAACAAUGAAGAAUUUGAGAAAAAAAGAUGUAUUAGUAGUAAUGAUUUAGUAGAAAAAGAGGGAAUUAGAGUGACGAUUAGAUUAACAAAGGAACAAGCAGCUGAGUUGCUAUCAAGAUGCAAUGGAAGUGUUCUUGAAUUGAAGGAUGUUGCUCGUGAGUUACUUUCUAUUCAAGGGAAACGUGAGGGAGCAUUUGUACAAACAAUUUCUAGUUAGCUUCAUUCUUGUAUAGUGAUUUUUUUUUUUUUUUUUUAAGGUUGUACAAAGAUUAGUUGAUUAUCACUUGUUUUCUGUAUGUGAAUAAAAUAGUCAUCUCAACUAAGUUUGAUAUCAAAUUCUAAAGCAUUAGUCACAUCUAAAUUGGAUCAUAAAUCAUCACCAUCACAUUAGCAAUCACCAUACAAACAACAAAUUGGAAGGAAAAAAAAUACAAAAUUAAGUACAAGGUUAAUUAAGGUGAUAUUUAUCGUUGUGGGGCAGUGAACUACGUUACUUGAGAAAUUGAGUCUAUCUCUUAUGUAUAAUGAGUGGCACAUACAUAAUUGAUGAUAUAGGGUUGAUAAUUGUUGAUUAAAAAAAUAUAUAGCAUAAUUGAUAAUUGAUGAUUUAUUCAUCUAAUAAUGAUGUUGAUAAUUGUUGAUUAUAUGCUAUGCUUAUUUUGUUGUUAAUGAUUCAUUAUGAUUUUUUUU